UACGAAGGGGGCUAGCGUUGCUCGGAAUCACUGGGCGUAAAGGGCGCGUAGGCGGCGUUUUAAGUCGGGGGUGAAAGCCUGUGGCUCAACCACAGAAUGGCCUUUGAUACUGAGAAGCUUGAGUCCGGGAGAGGUGAGUGGAACUGCGAGUGUAGAGGUGAAAUUCGUAGAUAUUCGCAAGAACACCAGUGGCGAAGGCGGCUCACUGGCCCGGUACUGACGCUGAGGUGCGAAAGCGUGGGGAGCAAACAGG
rnacentral:rRNA from 1 species